rnacentral:rRNA from 1 species
UGGGGAAUAUUGGACAAUGGGCGAAAGCCUGAUCCAGCCAUGCCGCGUGUGUGAAGAAGGUCUUCGGAUUGUAAAGCACUUUAAGUUGGGAGGAAGGGCAGUAAGCGAGUACCUUGCUGUUUUGACGUUACCGACAGAAUAAGCACCGGCUAACUCUGUGCCAGCAGCCGCGGUAAUACAGAGGGUGCAAGCGUUAAUCGGAAUUACUGGGCGUAAAGCGCGCGUAGGUGGUUCGUUAAGUUGAAUGUGAAAGCCCCGGGCUCAACCUGGGAACUGCAUCCAAAACUGGCGAGCUAGAGUAGGGCAGAGGGUGGUGGAAUUUCCUGUGUAGCGGUGAAAUGCGUAGAUAUAGGAAGGAACACCAGUGGCGAAGGCGACCACCUGGGCUCAUACUGACACUGAGGUGCGAAAGCGUGGGGAGCAAACAGG